GAAGCAGGCUCCAGGCUCUGAGCCAUCAGCCCAGAGCCCGAUGCGGGGCUCGAACUCACGAACCGUGAGAUCGUGACCUGAGCCGAAGUCGGACGCUCAACCGACUGAGCUACCCCGGCGCCCCCCUUUUAUUCCUUCUUAAAGCCAAGGAGGAGAAGUGUUAUUCUAGUUCCUAUUUUAUUCUAGUUCCUAUUUCCGACGAGGAAACUGUCAGCCAGUCGUUCGCAAUCUGUCUCAUUGACCUUUACCCUUCCGUCCCAGGUAUCCAGGCUCUCUGUGGGAGUCCCCUCUGAACUGCAGCCACACUGCCCUCUACUUGAUGAGUACUCCGUGGUCAGACACUCAGAUGCAACCACGAAAGAACGGUGAGCGAAUGAGAAGGCCCAGGAUGCAAAAUUUCGGGAGGCGCUCACAGUCCUGCUCCUGCAAGAGUGGGGUCAGCAUCUGAGAGCAGGUGACUCGUUCCCCUCACCUUGGGCCCGCCCUGCUGAAAGUGACCAUGGGAACGUGGUGCCGUGCAGAUCCCAGCUACCGGUGACUCCACAAUGGCCGCUGCCCUUGGGACCACUGUCUCCUAAAACAGGACUGAAGCCUGGAACAACACUGGACGCAAAAGGUACAAAAAUCCUAGAUGCCACCAGGUCAAGAGCUUGCAAAGGGGCCAGAGGACCUUCUUGAGGGCUGACCCUGGAGCCCGACUGCAGGAAGAGGGGUGCACUGGGUAGAAAGGGUUAGGGGCAUUCAGUCCACGGAAGCAUGCCCACGUGGUGUAUUGUGGGCACUCCUGCUCCGUAAGUGGGGGGCGGGGGUCAAGCAGGGAAGUGCAUUAGGAUCUGAGACUCUAUCAGGGGCACAAAAGGAGCCUUGGAGAGGUUCAGCCAGAUUAGACAGACCCUCUGGGAGAAUCCUUCUGAUGCCCUGUAGAUGAGGGUGGGGUUAGCCUAAAGGCAGGGAGCUGAGUUAGGUCCCGCAGUCAUCUAUUCAUAUAAAAUCAUUCGUUACAAAUAGCACCGUGUAUGCCCCUCAGGUCCUUGGUGCCGUUUUGAUUCAUGUCACAGAUUCAUCUACAAGGUUGCAGUAGAGUCACUGGACUACGAGAAUCUUCCUUUAAAUCAUACAUUCACCCAGCCAGUAUUAAUCCAGCAUCCCCCAUGUGGCCAAUGCUGGGGACCCAAUGGCAAGCUUAGAGUUGAGUGGAAGAGACGUCAUGCACACUGUAUAACAGGUGCCUUGAAGGAAGAGUCUCAGAUGCCUGGGAAGCAUGUCGUGAGGAGUCCAGUCUGGUCUGGGGGAUGGGAGUCAGUCCAGGAGGUGACUUUGGAGUUGAAGUCUGAAGGAGGACUUGGUAUUAAACUACACAAAAUGGAGAGGGAGGAUUCUAGGUGAAGGAAGCAGCUUGUGUAAAGGCCCUGUGGUAGGGAAGAAUAUGGCAUAUUUGAGAAGUUAGAAAAACCGAGAGGGAGAGGAGGAGGGAAGUGAAGGAUAAGGGGAAAAAAAAGAGGGCCAGGCCUGCUUUGCACAGUGCCCACUCCUUACAAGCAUUUGAAGUUACUUUUUGUUAAUUUUUUUUUAAUGUUUAUUUAUUUUUGAGACAGAGACAGAGCAUGAACGGGGGAGGGUCAGAGAGAGAGGGAGGCACAGAAUCUGAAGCAGGCUCCAGGCUCUGAGCUGUCAGCACAGAGCCCGACGCGGGGCUCGAACUCACGGACCGUGAGAUCAUGACCCGAGCCGAAGUCGGACGCUUAACCGACUGAGCCACCCAGGCGCCCCUGAAGUUACUUUUUUAGACAAUCAUUUUUUAUCUCUCUUUGGCACCCUGAGCACUGGUGAGUUGUAGACAGAACCAAGAAGAGGUGGCUAUGGACAGCUGUGUUCAUGGCCUCAGCUUCUCCCCUAUUCCCCAGUCUCCUUUUGCCCCUCAGAUGUAGGAAUACCAGUCCCCAGGUUCGUGAUGUUUUGCCCUCAUAGGAAUCUGUGCAGGUUUCAGUUUUAGGAACUUGGUACCAGUACCACCUUCCCACGUACACAGUCUUGGCCAAAAAAGGGCACUAACUUUGCUGAAGUUUCUGGCCACUCAGCACUGGCAAUUAACAGUCCCCCUGCUUUAUUUUUACAAGGAACUAAUCUCACUUUCUAGAACUUGCUCAUUCUCAGAGUGGGUGAUUGUUAGCCUUUAAGACAAUCCACUAGACAGAAAAAUUUUGGGAUGUCUCUCUACCCAAAGCUCAGCAAGCCAGCCACAUAACUUGGUGCCAACACUUAUCGAAUACACAUGUAUAUCAGGUGUUUGCCGUAUGCAAGGUUUUCCAAUCUUACUACUCUGUUCGGUGGAUACUAAAACUGAGGCCCAGAAGGUUCUGCAACCGGCCCUGGGAACACAAAUAGGAAGGGACAGUCUGAACACACACCCUGGGGCCUGGCACGGGCAGCCCAUGCACGGUAGACACUCAGCUUAGCAGUGCUGUGGCCCAUAGAGGCCCGAGUGUAGACAUCAUGGCCUACUGUCCCAGCCAGGAUUCUUCAAUAGUAGACAUAAAAAUUCAGAUGUUUCUGAACUCCAAAGCCAAGUGGUUUACACGGCACCACUGUGGCUGAUGAAUUAUCAAACUUUCUGCCUCCCCCAACUCUGGCAAGAACUUUGGUAGAACUUCUGUGCCACAUCCAGUGCUAGGAACUUGCCAACUUUGCGUCCUUAAAAUAAAGCAGGUUCCAAGAUAGAUGGCAGAAAGUGGAAAACAUUUUUCUUGAUCGGGUAACUAACUAAGAACCAUGCAGCAGGCAGGAGCCAUUUUUGGCCAAAGAAGCUAUUCAUUUAAAAGUGUUUAUCGACACCUGGAAAUAGGGAUUCAGCUUCAAAUGCUAUUUUCAUGUCAGUUUAUGUUGCAUAAUUUCCUAAUGCUGAUAAAAACCUAGGCGAACACCAAAACGAGAAUUCCAAAGUCAUUUCACUGCUGACACGCUCCUCCGUGUCUACCCGCUGAAUCUGAUUGCCGAGCAGCCCGGCGGGUCACCUGCUGGUGGAAAGGCAGAGCACAGUGACGGCUCAUCGGGGUUCACACCGACCACCCGAUUUCCUUUCGGUCAGUCUCACGGCUUUUGUUGGUUUGCGUGACAGCCUCAGAUCUUCAGCGAUCACCCCUACUUUGUGCUUGGAAUGUGUCUCCCCCCUUUGGAGGAUGACUCGGAAAGACUCUCCGUCGCUGGAUUCCAUUCUGAGCCUGGUCACCCUCAGUAAACGAGGGAGCGGCUCCACACAGCCUUCGGGGUCUGAGGACGGACAGAUGGAAGGGGCGGAGGUAGGGGGUCUUGGCAGAGUCGCUACUUAGAACACGAGGCGAGUGUGGUUUCCGCGUGUGGCAGCAGAGCGACUGGGGGUCCCUGCCUUCCUGCCACGUAAGUUUCAGUGAGGAAGAAUCUUGGCUCACCACUUUGGCUUAGGAAUAUCUGGUUACCGAGCCACCUCCCAGGGCGGGGAUGCGCAAGCUCUGGGGGGCUGUAUUUCCCACCGAGGACUUGCUGAAGGCAGGAGGGCCCCCCCAGAGAAGCACCGAUGCGCAGGUACGUCUGCGUCCAGGGGCCCCGGGCUCCUUGGAGCCCCCGACGCCACCCAUGACUCCGGGGGAUGGGAGGGCUGGCCGAGGACGUGGCAAACAGGGAACGCCCAGGGGACGAGGGUAGAGGGAGAUGAGAUGUCGACACUGCUCGCGUUCGCGUCUAACCCACGGCUGCUCUCUGUCCCCUCCCCCCGUGCCAGCAGCACCGAGGACGCGACCGCACCACCGCCA